GUAGUAAAACGCCUGCAUGUAAAAAUGGGUUGUGUAGUUAUUUUUGUGUGAUAUUACACAAUUUAGUAGUACUCCGCUUCACAAUUUUUUCUAACACCAUUUACACCUAAAAUGUGUAAAAUUAUACACAUUUUUCGUUAAUAUUGCAUUUGCGUGUUGUUUGCUAUCCAGCUGUCAAAAUAUCCAAACUAAACUCAACUCGCGUGAAUCAAAACAGUUCGGAAAAUCAGCAAGAGUGAAUAUUUUGAUUCGUUUGAGGAUUAAAACCAUCUUCAAGGCUGAAAAUCAUGAAAAUAUACAAAGGAUUUUUUUUAGGUUUGAAAUUUCCCGGAAGCGACGGUCCAAAACCGAUCCUACUGCAAGUGUCCGGCCAACCAGCUGGCGCCACAAUUCACUGUUUAAGAAGCCGGUUCGGUGUUGCGACCAGCAGCAGUUGCCACGAUUGGCAUCGUUUGCCACUGCACCAGGAACCCUCUGGACGAUAUCUGGUUCUCGAAAACUUCCGGAAUCAACGCUGCCACUGAAGCUGCAAAACCAUAGAAGCCGAAAAUUGUCCCGAACGGGCUCGUGUCAAGGUAGACGGAGAAUACGCAGCCAGUCAAGUUUCCGUCGCUGACCUCCGCCGGCUCCGGAGGUAACUCGAAGAGGGUGGCACUGGCGCUGGUGAGUGAAGUUGUAAUUGCUUGUUCAAUUUGAACACCGGCAGACAGGAGCAGGACAGCGUGUUUCCCCGUGUUUCCCACCGAUACUUGCUCGUUCAUGACUUCACCGUCAAAAAUAUCGCUGAUUCGCGCCGGAAUCUGUUCGAACAGUGUUUUGCUCUGGGCACGAUUCUUGAACCGAGCUGGCUGGAUUUGCCUCCGCUGACGUUGCCAUUGCGUGAUGCUUCGAACGUUAUGGUGCUCCCCUCUCGCCGGGUAGUGACGAAACCCCGAAAGGCCUGAAUCCGCUUCAGAAAUCGGUCAACGAGACAUACAUCUCUAACCCACACGAACGUCGUGCGAAUGCUCUGCAAUUCGUACAACUUUUUAUACGAAGUCCCAUUCUUCAACCCUUUAGGAGGAACCACACCCGGGUCGUUUGCGAUCAUCGUCAUCUCGGCCACACAUGGAAGGUUGGCCGCGAAAAGGAAACGCACCUCGUCAACACCUGGGCCGUUCGCGAUCAUCCGCACAUCGACCACAGAACAACCGAUUCGGAAGGAAUGUUGUCCACUCACUAGCCGUAUAACACCAGUUCUGGCUUAAAAUCAGGUGCAAUCUUCACGAAUCAACGCCGGGCAUUCGAGCUAGCUGCGGUAAUCAUGCCGAGAUUCCUGGGGCGUGGAACAACGCGUGCCGAUUCUGAACGAGAGGUGGCCAUGAAGAGGAAUCGCACCUUUUCCACACCCAAGCCGGUUACGGUCAUCCACACCUCGGCCGCAGAACAUCGAUUCGACAGUGAAGUUGGCCUCGAAAAGGAAACGCAUCGUUUCCACUCUCCGGCCGGUGAAGGUCAUCCACACCUCGGCCGCAGACCAAUUGAUUCGAGGGAUCUUGUGCGAUCAUCAUGAGACAAAGCCGGGUGUUCGAACUUGCAAUGGAGUUCAAAUCUGAACAUUCCAUGGCCGCGGUAAAACCGAUUCCGAAAGAAUUUGGCCGCGAAGAGGAAACGCAUCAAGUCCACACUCGGGCCGUUCUCAUUCGCAGUUCGGCCACGGGAGGAAGGUUGGCCGUGAAUAGGAACAGGAACAGAAUAGCAGUUCUGCCUUCAAAUCUGGGGCGAAGUUCCCGGAUUAACGUCGUGUGUCCAAGUUGGCUGCGGUAUUUAGGCCAGGAAACGAUCGAUCGAUGGGAAGAUUGGCCGCAAGGAGAAACCACACCCGGGUCGUUUGCGAUCAUGCGCGUUUCGGCCACGGAAGAAAUGUUGUUCGCGAAGAGGAUGCCACCUCGUCCACACCCGGGCAGUUCGCGAUCAUCUCGUUCACACCCGAGCAUCCACCGGAUGCUGCUCGACGAUUGUCUCGACGGCCUUAUCGAAGAAAUCUCGGAAAUUUUCUGCGCAAUAAACAAAAAUUUGAG